GGAUUAGAUACCCUAGUAGUCCACGCUGUAAACGAUGAUUACUCGUUGCUGGCGAUACACUGUCAGUGACUAAGCGAAAGUGUUAAGUAAUCCACCUGGGGAGUACGAUCGCAAGGUUGAAACUCAAAGGAAUUGACGGGGGCCCGCACAAGCGGUGGAGCAUGUGGUUUAAUUCGAUGAUACGCGAGGAACCUUACCAAGGCUUAAAUGCAGAACGACAGUUUGGGAAACCAUUCUUUCUUCGGACGGACUGCAAGGUGCUGCAUGGUUGUCGUCAGCUCGUGCCG
rnacentral:rRNA from 1 species